AUGAUUUAUGAUCAUGUUUAUGUUUCAGGAGUAAAUAUUCCGUCCGACCUGAAACUGUUUCCAGCGGUUGGAGUAACAUGUCUGCUGUUCAGCGUCUCAGAGAGUUUAUCACCGAGGAGGAGGAGGACAUGUUGGAGUCUGAGGAAGACUCUGGUGAUGAGGAGCCUCACAGAGCAGCCUGUCUGUGAGGAGGAGGAGGAGGUUCUCCCUGAGCAGCAGCUCUGGGACCAGGAGAGGAGCUCCAGUCUGGAGCAGGAGGAACCAGAACCUCCACAGAUUAAAGAGGAACAGGAGGAACUGUGCAGCAGUCAGGAGGGAGAGCAGCUGGGACUGAAGGAGGAGACGGAUACCUUUAUGGAGUUUGAGUGCAGCGCCGGUAUUGAUGAACACACAGACGUCCCACAGCAGCAUGUCUGUGAGGAGGAGGAAAUCCUCACUGACCAGGAGAGGAGCUCCAGUGUGGAGCAGGAGGAACCAGAACCUCCACAGAUUAAAGAGGAACAGGAGGAACUGUGCAGCAGUCAGGAGGGAGAGCAGCUGGGACUGAAGGAGGAGACUGAUACCUUUAUGGUGACUACUGCUGAGGAAGGAGAGCACAGUGAACCAGGAGGAGACGGGGAGCAGCUCCUCUGUCACAGAUCUGCUGUAGCUGAGAGUCAGCAUCUGGAAGGAGGCAGGAGUGCAGACUCAGGACGUCUGAAAUUAGGAACAGAAGUGACAGCAGGAGGUUCCCCUACAUCAGAGAGUCGGUGUAACUCUGACAUGGGUAAAAAGCCUGUAAACUGUGAUAGUUGUGGGAAGGACAGAAUCCACACAGGUGAAGAGUGUGGGAAAAACUUCAGUUCUCGCUCUAACCUGAGCGUCCAUGUGAGAGCCCACACAGGCGAGAAGCCGGAUUCAUGUGAAACACGGAAAAAGGAGAAAUCCAUGUGAAAGGUGGACUGUUUCCAUGGCAACUUUCUGUCUGUCCUAGCCAAAGAUGCUCGUACAACCGAAACUCUCAAACUCAAGAACAGUUAAGAGAUGGGAGCGGUAUUCUGUGAAACAGAGUAAAGGUUUCAUUUAAAGCAGUGAAACAGGAAAAGCUGCCUGAGGUUUAAGUGAAGCUGCGCUUUCAGCAGUCACGUCUCUGUGCAGAUUAUUCAUAAACACAGUCUGAUUUUAUCUGUCUUUGCAUCCUUUUUUAUUUAUUUUAUGCUUCAAAUUGUGUAAUAAACAAAAUCUGAUGAUAUUUGUCUUUGAAUGUGACUAAACCUAAAACUACAGCUGCCUUCUAACUGUGCUGUUUCCACAUCAGGACAGAAUUAAUAACACUCAAUGUCCCAGGUGCUGUUAAACAGAGCAGAGAGCUUUAACAAACAUCCUGCUUUUAUUUUGGAUGCUUGUAAUUUGAUGGAUGGAAGGUGGGGGGGAGGUCCUUAUCUACACAGUGAUGGUAACUGUUCUGACCAUUAGAGAAAUCAUCAUGUAAAUGAAACUCUGUAAAGCACCGGUAAAAAUGAAUAAAUAAAAGUAUGCUGAUAUUGGAACAGUCAGCUCGUAGCUCUCACAAAGAGUAGAUGGCUCCUGCCUGAGUGCUGAUGCAGCAGAGGGGAAGCAGGUCACCCCUCCCUCCCUCACCUCCAGCUGUUUUCCUCCCAGACUGAAAGAAACCAGUUCAGCAGCUGUCUGCAGCCCAGAUGUUUCCUCUGUUUGUAGUGUAUGUGUAUAUUAAACUGUUUCCUGCGUGGGUCUAGUGUCACUGCUUUGUUCAUAAUGGCCUCUCUUAGUGAACUUGAACGUGGAUGUUUUAUAUUCUCUGUACAGCUUCACUAAGGUCCUGAAUAUUUAAACCUUUAUUUUGAAAAGAAAUACUUUUUUUUAUAUAUUUAUUUUUUACUUUAUUUGAAAUUAUAAUUUGAACAGUCAGUCAUUCCAGUUCAGUUUGUACAGUAGACAUACAGGGCAAAUAAAAGUAACAAUAUACAGUACAAUGAAAUAAGAAGGAUAAAUAAAUAAAGGAUAAAAAAAAGAGAGGGAUGUGACAGACGUCAUAACAACUUUGUACUUGAAAGUUGUAUCUGUGACAGCUUAUUCGUUAAACAUUUCUGAAUGAAUUUCAAUCAAUGAUAAACCUUUUUUAUUGGAAGUUAAUUUAAGAGAGUUUAAGUAAUAUUCAAUUUCAAUCAAAAACAAAUUAAAUGAUGGGGUUGAGUUUUGAAAUUUACAUUUAUGUAUAUGGAAUUUCCCUAAUAAGACAUAAAGAUUGACAAUGGCACAUAUUUUUUUUCUUUAGUUUCAAAAUAAGUGAUAAUGUUCUUCCCUUCAAUUUUGAUUUCGUAUUUUGAAAAGAAAUAACAAACCUGACGUCAUCAUUCUUUCUUACUGCUCUGUUCUUUGUUUUUAUCUCAUCUUUUAUUUUCUGCUCAGAGCUCGAAGCAGUUAACGGUCUCCGGAGGGCAGCGCCGCGUCAUAUCCGGUAGAAGCACCGGCGAAAUGCUUGGCCUGAACCGGAAGUGUGUUGUGUUGUUGUGUGUGAGCUGAGUGUGUGAGCCGAGUGUGUGAGCUAGUGAUGGGUAGAUGAGGCCUCGUGAAGCGUUUCAGCACAUUCCCCAAACUGUGUCGACACAAUGUUGCUGUUUUGCUCCAUACUGACACCUGCUGGACCUUAAAUAUCAUUGCAGGCAACUUACUUGAGACUCGCAACAGACACUGAUUCAAUGACCUAGUCAUACGUGUAUACACUGUAAGGUAUUGUACUUUCCAUGGAAUCAUUUUAUAUCUUUUAUAUUACAAAUAUUGUAGACAUCUUUAAAAUAUAUUGUGAAUGACAUUAAGUGAAAAUUAAAAUUAAAGUAUUGUGAAUGUAAUAUUACCCAUUUGACUCAGAGUUUAUUAUAAAUUUCUAUUCAGAAAAAUAAGUUUAUCCAAUGUUUUUGCAUUCAGUCUAUUGCGGGGGGUUUUUUGACACCAUUUCCCCAGCUUUGGAAAACAUACAGGCACAGAUGAAGCUGGGGUACACAAACUGUAAAGCCAGGUGGAAAAGGUUCAGAUAAGAUGUCUUCCUAUUCCCCCAGUACGUUAAAGGAUCCUCUGAUCUUGGAAUGUUUCUCUCCGACACUCUCCACAAUACUAAGGGGUUGGCAGUCCUUUAUAAUAAAAUUCAGGACUGCCUGGUCCAGAACAGUCUUCCUAGAUGCUUGAUUUGAAAAUAAUAAAACACACAUUAAUAAAAAAAAAAAAUGAUGAUAAAGCUGUUCAGUGUCUAUAUAGGCCUACCAGUGUUCAUUCUCGGUGUGUUUGUCUCCUCAUUUUCAUGUUUGGCUCUGUAAUGCCUAAACACGGAGGAGGUGCUUUUGUUUGUGUAAGAAACGCAGACCAGAUGCGACAUUUAACCUGCAUAAAAUGAAAUAAAUAAUUUACACUUCAAGUCACAUUGCUGUUUUUCCUAUUCUGAUAGAUUACACUGAAACAAAGACAGACAAACAGUUACCUUAUUUGCAGUGAAAAGAUCAAAAUGAUCCCGCACAGCAGAAACAUUUCUUUUUCUUUCAGGCUCCAUUUUGUUUUUGGAGAGAUGUGUAUUUUUUUUUUUUUUUAAAUCUUUGCGAGAGUAAUUUUGUGUGUUUUUUGGUGGCGACUCAUUCCGUUGGCAGAUGCGGAUGCGGUACCUUUUAAACACAGUUUGGAGCGUUGGCAAUGAGCGAUACAGCAGCUGUAUCGAUCACGUGACUUUUUCUUAAAGCGACGCACGCACCGAUACAGGCAUCGCUAGGUGAGCUUGAUACAAGCGUCGGUGCGUCAGUGUUGCAGGACCCAUCACUAGUGUGAGCUGUGGCAGUAACAAUGGCUUCAGUUCAGUAUCUGAGAGAGUUUAUCAACGAGCGACUAACUGCUGCUGCUGAACAAAUAUUCUUGGAGUUUGAAAAAACGAUCGUCCAGUACGAGGAAGAGAUCGACCGUCAGCGCAGACUGCUGGAUAUCACCUGGAAACCCCAAAUCAAGCUGCACAGGACAGGUGAGUGUCCCUCUGAGGGAGGAUCCUAAUCACAGCUCUGCGGGACAUUUAUGAUUGUGAGGACUUUUUGGAGAUGUGAGCUAACAAAGAGCAAACAGAGGACAGGACUGCACUGUGCUCCAUUCAAACAGCAGGCGGUGGAUUUGAGGCUUUUCUCUGACCUGGAUCACUCAAUCAGUUUCUUUAUGUUUGCUGUCAAAGUUGGAAAACAUCGAAAAUCGAUGUUCAGAGUAGAUUAUUUAUUCCAGAUGGAUUUUAUACAUAUAAAUAUAACGUUUAUAUAAAUGUAUGUUUCCUGUUGCACUUGUGAAAGUUACAAACAAAUGUUGGAAACAUAAAGUCGCUGUGCAAUAAUAAAAUAUCUAAUGUGACUGAUCUACAGGCUGUUGCUCGUCCUCAGCGCUGUGAUCUGCUGCUGUGCUGAGGACUGUUUGAAACCAGUUCCACUUUAUCUUAAUGUAAACACACCUGUUCUGUCUGUGUGUGAAUCAGCAGCUUUUUGUGGUGCUGCAGGGGUUUGUGUACCUGUACCAGGCCCUAUCCUGGAGCCGGGCCUGGAGUGAGUGUCUGGGGGGCCACAGCCCAUAAAAAGCUGCAUGAGGGGCUUUAGGGGUUCUGUUCUUUGAGCCUCGAGCAGUUUAAUCUCUGACCAGUCUGACCACAUAGGUGAGGAAAGUCACUUCUCUGGUGGACGAGCGAUACCAGCAUGAUGUAGUCGGGUUUGCCAAAACACACAGCUCGUGUUAUAAAACGAGUCAGCUGGAGACGGGCUGCACUCUGGUCUGGAUUUGCCUUCUGUGAGCCGGGCACUCGUAUCCCCUCUGUGGGUGUUUCCACAGGAAAAAGUGAGGAUUCAGAGGUGCUCCUGCAGGAGGACGGGGUGGACCCACCCUGGCCGUUUCCUGUC
ensembl:lncRNA